rnacentral:misc_RNA from 1 species
AACAUCGCGCACCUGCGGGAACCUGCGGAAGGAUCAUUACAGAGUUGCAAAACUCCCUAAACCAUUGUGAACGUUACCUAAACCGUUGCUUCGGCGGGCGGCCCGGGUCCUUCCCGGCGCCCCUCGGCCCUCGCGGGCGCCCGCCGGAGGUAAACCAAACUAUUGCAUUGUAUGGCCUCUCUGAGUCUUCUGCACUGAAUAAGUCAAAACUUUCAACAACGGAUCUCAGAUCGGAAGAGC